UAAACUAUGCACUUAAGUGUUUUGUAAGAGCAUCGGUUUUGCAUCCUAAAUAUUAAAAUAGUAAUUUCACCAAAAUAUUUGGUAUACAGAAAAUCGAGUACAUAUAAAAUGUAUAUCAGCACUUUUAUUAUGUUUGGAAUAUUUGGUGCUACAAGCCCUAUUCUGAUACCUCCAUUCUGUGACCUUUUAGUAGUGGAUGCACCUUUGAAAUGCUAUAAUGCCACGGAUUGUGAAUCUUAUAGGGAGUGCCUACGUCAUAAAUAAAAAUAUUAGGAAGUACCAAUUUAUAAAUCGAUAUAAAGAUCUAUGAUAUUUCGAAGAGCUCCCAAAUAAAAUAUGUUUGUCAGAUA